GACGAACGCUGGCGGCGUGCUUAACACAUGCAAGUCGAACGAUGAACCCGGAGCUUGCUCCGGUGGAUUAGUGGCGAACGGGUGAGUAACACGUGAGUAACCUGCCAUUGACUCUGGGAUAACUGCGGGAAACUGUAGCUAAUACCGGAUACGACCCUCGGCGGCAUCGCCAGGGGGUGGAAAGAAUUUCGGUCAAGGAUGGACUCGCGGCCUAACAGCUAGUUGGUGAGGUAACGGCUCACCAAGGCGACGACGGGUAGCCGGCCUGAGAGGGUGGCCGGCCACACUGGGACUGAGACACGGCCCAGACUCCUACGGGAGGCAGCAGUGGAGAAUAUUGCACAAUGGGCGCAAGCCUGAUGCAGCAACGCCGCGUGAGGGAUGACGGCCUUCGGGUUGUAAACCUCUUUUAGUAGGGAAGAAGCGAAAGUGACGGUACCUGCAGAAAAAGCACCGGCUAACUACGUGCCAGCAGCCGCAGUAA
rnacentral:rRNA from 1 species